CCUACGGGUGGCAGCAGUGGGGAAUAUUGGACAAUGGGCGAAAGCCUGAUCCAGCCAUGCCGCGUGUGUGAAGAAGGCCUUCGGGUUGUAAAGCACUUUCAGUGGGGAAGAAAGCCUUGGGGCUAAUACCCUCGAGGAAGGACAUCACCCACAGAAGAAGCACCGGCUAACUCCGUGCCAGCAGCCGCGGUAAUACGGAGGGUGCGAGCGUUAAUCGGAAUUACUGGGCGUAAAGCGCGCGUAGGCGGUCUGAUAAGCCGGUUGUGAAAGCCCCGGGCUCAACCUGGGAACGGCAUCCGGAACUGGCAGGCGAGAGUGCAGGAGAGGAAGGUAGAAUUCCCGGUGUAGCGGUGAAAUGCGUAGAGGUCGGGAGGAAUACCAGUGGCGAAGGCGGCCUUCUGGACUGACACUGACGCUGAGGUGCGAAAGCGUGGGUAGCAAACAGGAUUAGAUACCCCGGUAGUC
rnacentral:rRNA from 1 species